rnacentral:rRNA from 1 species
GACAGAGGGUGCAAACGUUGUUCGGAAUUACUGGGCGUAAAGCGCGUGUAGGCGGCCCUGCAAGUCGGAUGUGAAAUCCCACGGCUCAACCGUGGAAGUGCAUUCGAAACUGCAGGGCUAGAGUCCUGGAGAGGAAGGUGGAAUGCUUGGUGUAGAGGUGAAAUUCGUAGAUAUCAAGCGGAACACCGGUGGCGAAGGCGGCCUUCUGGACAGUGGACUGACGCUGAGACGCGAAAGCGUGGGGAGCAAACAGG